UGCGGGCUGGGUAAGUACCUUUUGUCACUAUUGCACCAACAGUGGUUUUGUAAGCAGUUGAAGUUUAUUUUAGUGAUAAUUAUUUGUGCAGUGUUGUAGUUUGUACUUGUCCGAAACAAUUUUCCCAAAUGUGGCCUUCAGGUACGAGUCCCCCGAUGGGCACGGCGCACGCACGCACACCUUCAAUCGUGAUUCCACUGACGACGGCGACCGGGUCACUCCGGUGUGGAUGCUGUCCCAUGAAAUGAAGGUGUUCCAGAGCCUUAAUCACGCGAGGAGGACGGAGGCUGCGGACAACAACGGGCACUUCUUUGCUGGAUGGAGUGAAAAUGGCUUUGAGACUUUGUGCGUGUCGCUGUUCCCAUGUGCAACGGGCUCGUACUGAAGAAGCCGCCAUGUCCCGGGAUGAGGACGCACAAGCCGUCAAUGUUCCGAGCAGCUACGACGUGGUGUUCAAGAUUUUGGGUAAAAUGUUUCGCAUGAAUUAAAGGCUACUCAAAUCAUUCUCACAGAAAUGGGCACAUCUGAUUGUGGUUUGAAAAGGCAAUAGGAGAAAAUGGUUUACUCUAAAAUAGUAUUUUUUAUUUUUUUUUUUAGACAAUCAGAAGCAGUGCAAUGAGUAAUUUUUAAAAUAAAGUAGAAAUAAUGGACUUGGACCCCAAAAUCAAUAAGCAGUGUAAUUUUGGAAGUGAUACAAAACUAUUUUCCACUCAGGGUAUUGUAUUCACCGUACCCUGUGAAGCGCUGAUACAUUUGGCAGAAAAUGUCCAAUUUGUCAUUCCGCUGGGUCCAGAGCUCCUAAAUUUGGUAGAAAGAUGUUGCACAUAAUGAAAAUCCCACAGAGUUGGAGUCGUGUAGUGUGAUCUCUGCAGCCCUCUGCUGGUUUAUUUGAAUGUAACAGCUCAAGUUAGCUUCGUGUGUUCUAUGUAAAUGGGAAGUGACAUUUGGACCCUCUGAGGACCAAAGGUACAAGACGUGACUGGACUGUGAGGGCUAUGAGCUCUUGUAAAAAUGGUUUUGCUGUGCAGGUUUUGGAGUUGUGGUUCCUCAGCCUGGACCGGGUCAGCGCUGAAAACUGUUGUAAGGCUCACAUUGUGGAAUAAAAGGCUGCUAUGUUGCCAAAUGCUGUGAAUGACUUGUUCAGUAAGUGUGUAAAAGUAUCAUGCAGGUUAAAAAUGAAUACAAUAUUGUUCCCGAGAUGAUAAGGUAAUUCUGGGGCAAACGGAGUAGAUAAUUGUCAUUUUAAUGACUUAGAAAAAGAAAUAGUUGUGCUGUGUUUUACUAUGCACAAGAGCACACUUGUAAAAAUAUCAGCUAAGUAAUGGAAGAUGUGCUUUGGCCUUACCUGUAAUGCAGCUCACAUGAAAUUGUAGAAAGGAAAAUUAGAUUUGAUUCUAAACAAUUUUAGUGGUUGUGGUCUUUACAUUCCCUAAAAUAUUUCUCCAGAUUGCUUUUGUUAGUCAGUGUCUUAAUACUGAAAUAUGUUCAAACUUGAGUCUACAGUUGAACACAAGUGGUGGGAAUUGUUUUACACUCCAGAUAAUUCCAAAGUCCUCACUGGUUUGGGUUUUUUAUAAGUGUAUAGCCACUGUUUGAGUCAACAGUGCAAAGCUUACAUUGUGGCCUAAAAGACUGUGUAUGAACUGGAAUGUUAACAUUGUAUGAUUCAAAUGUCUAACCUUCAUUCCCAGGUGUUAAGACUUGCUCUCUCUCAACUGACCAAUGUCAUUGUAUAAUA